rnacentral:rRNA from 1 species
CCAAGUUUUUAAGGGCGCACGGUGGAUGCCUUGGCACCAGGAACCGAUGAAGGACGUGGGAGGCCACGAUAGUCCCCGGGGAGCCGUCAACCAGGCUUUGAUCCGGGGGUUUCCGAAUGGGGAAACCCGGCAGUCGUCAUGGGCUGUCACCCGCUGCUGAACACAUAGGCAGUGUGGAGGGAACGCGGGGAAGUGAAACAUCUCAGUACCCGCAGGAAGAGAAAACAACCGUGAUUCCGGGAGUAGUGGCGAGCGAAACCGGAUGAGGCCAAACCGUAUACGUGUGAGACCCGGCAGGGGUUGCGUGUGCGGGGUUGUGGGAUCUCUCUUUCACAGUCUGCCGGCUGUGAGGCGAGUCAGAAACCGUUGAUGUAGGCGAAGGACAUGCGAAAGGUCCGGCGUAGAGGGUAAGACCCCCGUAGUCGAAACAUCAGCGGCUCGUUUGAGAGACACCCAAGUAGCACGGGGCCCGAGAAAUCCCGUGUGAAUCUGGCGGGACCACCCGCUAAGCCUAAAUAUUCCCUGGUGACCGAUAGCGGAUAGUACCGUGAGGGAAUGGUGAAAAGUACCGCGGGAGCGGAGUGAAAUAGUACCUGAAACCGUGUGCCUACAAGCCGUGGGAGCGUCGGACAUCAAGCUUGCUUGGUGUCUCGUGACUGCGUGCCUUUUGAAGAAUGAGCCUGCGAGUUUGCGGUGUGUUGCGAGGUUAACCCGAGUGGGGAAGCCGUAGCGAAAGCGAGUCCGAAUAGGGCGUUUCAGUAGCACGCUCAAGACCCGAAGCGGAGUGAUCUAGCCAUGGGCAGGUUGAAGCGGAGGUAAGACUUCGUGGAGGACCGAACCCACCAGGGUUGAAAACCUGGGGGAUGACCUGUGGUUAGGGGUGAAAGGCCAAUCAAACUCCGUGAUAGCUGGUUCUCCCCGAAAUGCAUUUAGGUGCAGCGUCGUGUGUUUCUUGCCGGAGGUAGAGCACUGGAUAGGCGAUGGGCCCUACCGGGUUACUGACCUUAGCCAAACUCCGAAUGCCGGUAAGUGAGAGCGCGGCAGUGAGACUGUGGGGGAUAAGCUCCAUGGUCGAGAGGGAAACAGCCCAGAGCAUCGACUAAGGCCCCUAAGCGUACGCUAAGUGGGAAAGGAUGUGGAGUCGCACAGACAACCAGGAGGUUGGCUUAGAAGCAGCCACCCUUGAAAGAGUGCGUAAUAGCUCACUGGUCUAGUGAUUCCGCGCCGACAAUGUAGCGGGGCUCAAGCGUACCGCCGAAGUCGUGUCAUUCAUACAAUAGGGCCAACGCCUGUAUGGAUGGGUAGGGGAGCGUCGUGUGCCGGGUGAAGCAGCCGCGGAAGCGAGUUGUGGACGGUUCACGAGUGAGAAUGCAGGCAUGAGUAGCGAUACAAACGUGAGAAACGUUUGCGCCGAUUGACUAAGGGUUCCUGGGUCAAGCUGAUCUGCCCAGGGUAAGUCGGGACCUAAGGCGAGGCCGACAGGCGUAGUCGAUGGAUAACCGGUUGAUAUUCCGGUACCCGCUGUGAAGCGUCAAACAUCGAGCAUCGUGAUGCUAAGGCCGUGAAGCCGCCCUGAUCUCUUCGGAGUUGAGGGGAGUGGUGGAGCCGCCGAACCAAGCGGUUAGUAGGUGAGUGAUGGGGUGACGCAGGAAGGUAGUCCAUCCCGGGCGGUGGUUGUCCCGGGGUAAGGGUGUAGGACGUCAGGUAGGUAAAUCCGCCUGGCAAUAGUCUGAGACCUGAUGCCGAGCCGAUUGUGGUGAAGUGGAUGAUCCUAUGCUGUCGAGAAAAGCCUCUAGCGAGUUUCAUGGCGGCCCGUACCCUAAACCGACUCAGGUGGUCAGGUAGAGAAUACCGAGGCGUUCGGGUGAACUAUGGUUAAGGAACUCGGCAAAAUGCCCCCGUAACUUCGGGAGAAGGGGGGCCACACCUGGUGAUGAUCUUUACGGUCUGAGCUGGGGGUGGCCGCAGAGACCAGCGAGAAGCGACUGUUUACUAAAAACACAGGUCCGUGCGAAGCCGUAAGGCGAUGUAUACGGACUGACGCCUGCCCGGUGCUGGAACGUUAAGGGGACCGGUUAGCUCCAUUUCGGUGGGGCGAAGCUGAGAACUUAAGCGCCAGUAAACGGCGGUGGUAACUAUAACCAUCCUAAGGUAGCGAAAUUCCUUGUCGGGUAAGUUCCGACCUGCACGAAUGGCGUAACGACUUCUCGACUGUCUCAACCAUAGGCCCGGUGAAAUUGCACUACGAGUAAAGAUGCUCGUUUCGCGCAGCAGGACGGAAAGACCCCGGGACCUUUACUACAGUUUGAUAUUGGUGUUCGGUUCGGCUUGUGUAGGAUAGCUGGGAGACUUUGAAGCUCGCACGCCAGUGUGGGUGGAGUCGUCGUUGAAAUACCAGUCUGGUCGUGCUGGAUGUCUAACCUGGGUCCGUGAUCCGGAUCAGGGACAGUGUCUGAUGGGUAGUUUAACUGGGGCGGUUGCCUCCUAAAGAGUAACGGAGGCGCCCAAAGGUUCCCUCAGCCUGGUUGGCAAUCAGGUGUUGAGUGUAAGUGCACAAGGGAGCUUGACUGUGAGACCGACGGGUCGAGCAGGGACGAAAGUCGGGACUAGUGAUCCGGCGGUGGCUUGUGGAAGCGCCGUCGCUCAACGGAUAAAAGGUACCCCGGGGAUAACAGGCUGAUCUUCCCCAAGAGUCCAUAUCGACGGGAUGGUUUGGCACCUCGAUGUCGGCUCGUCGCAUCCUGGGGCUGGAGUCGGUCCCAAGGGUUGGGCUGUUCGCCCAUUAAAGCGGUACGCGAGCUGGGUUUAGAACGUCGUGAGACAGUUCGGUCCCUAUCCGCUGUGCGCGUAGGAGUCUUGAGAAGGGCUGUCCCUAGUACGAGAGGACCGGGACGGACGAACCUCUGGUGUGCCAGUUGUCCUGCCAAGGGCAUGGCUGGUUGGCUACGUUCGGGAGGGAUAACCGCUGAAAGCAUCUAAGCGGGAAGCCUGCUUCGAGAUGAGGACUCCCACCCCCUUGAGGGGUUAAGGCUCCCAGUAGACGACUGGGUUGAUAGGCCGGAUCUGGAAGCACCGCAAGGUGUGGAGGUGACCGGUACUAAUAGGCCGAGGGCUUGUCCUC